rnacentral:rRNA from 1 species
GGAGUCUGGGCCGUGUCUCAGUCCCAGUCUGGAUGAUCAUCCUCUCAAACCAUCUAAGGAUCGUCGACUUGGUGAGCCAUUACCUCACCAACUAUCUAAUCCUACGCAGGCCAGUCCCAAACCGGAUAAAUCCUUUAAUCCGAAGAUCACAUGCGGUAUUAGCCACUCUUUCGAGUAGUUAUCCCUCAGUUUGGGGUCCGUUCCCACGCGUUACUCAGCCGUCCGCCGCUCGUCAGCGAGGUUCCACUGUACUCUCGAAAUCAACACUCCGUCAAUACGCGAGGCGUCAAGAGCACGGUGGAACCCCCUGUUACCGCUCGACUUGCAUGUAUUAGGCACGCCGCCAGCAUUCAUC